GCUGGGGGACGAGGAAGGAAGAGGACGUCAGGGAUGAAGGAAAACGGGUAGAGGGAGGUUGAAAGAGGAAGAUGGAGUCCGUGAUGAGGGUCAGGAAGGGGGGAAAACAGGAAUAAAAAGAGUUGUAUGGGCGAGAGAGGAAGAGGGAGUCAAUGAUGAGGGUCAGGGAGGGAGGGAAACAGGAGUAGAAAUGGUUAUAAGGACGAGAAAGGAAGAGGGAAGGGAGAGGACGUAAGGGAGGAAAACAGAAGUAGAAAGGGUUUUAAGGACGAGAAAGGAAGAGGAUGUCAGGGAGGGAGGAUAACAAGAGUAGGAAGGGUUGUAAGGGUGAUAGAGGGAGAGGAGGAGUAAGAAGAGGAAGUCAGUGAGGAGGGUUGGGAGUGUGAAUGGCUAAUGAGAUGAGAGGAGAUAAAGGAAGAUCAAAUAUGGAGGAUAAGAUGAAUGGCUGAAAGGGUGAGAGAGGAGGAAGAGAUAUAGAGGGAUAAAAGAGAGUAGCAGUGACUAAGGGGUAGUACAGAUUAGGAAAUUGGUAGAGAAACGAGUAGGAAUAGAUAUAAGGGAGAAAAGGAGAGUAUGGAGGAAUGACAAGAGGGACUGGCAGCUGAGGAUAAAAAGAGAAACAUGGGGAGAAGAUAAAUUUGGACUGAGAUUUGUGCUUUGCUAGGAAUAUAGUUGAAAGAAGCGAAGGGAGAGUAAGUGAUUGGAACGAAAGUAGAAGUGAAUUUAAAGGAAGAGAAGCAAGAAAAACUGACUGGGACGAAGGUAGGGAUAUAUUAAAGGGAAGAGAAGGAAGGAUUGGUGAGUGGAACGUAUGUAGGAGGAUGUUUAGAGGAAGAGAAAGAAGAGGAAGUGAAAAGGAAAAAAAUGUAAGAGACUAUUAAAAGAAAGAGGAGGUGAGUGGGACGAAGGGAGGAGUGUAUUUAAACGAAGAGAGGGAAAACGAGGUGAGUGGGACGAAG